rnacentral:rRNA from 1 species
UAAAUAGGGUGCAAACGGUGUUCGGAUUUACUGGGCGUAAAGGGCGCGUAGGCGGCGCGUAAAGGUGGACAUGAAAUCAUUGGGCUUAACACGAUGGCUGUGCCCGAUACUUGCGUGCUUAGAGUGCGGGAGAGGCAAUCGGAAUUCUCGGUGUAGCGGUGAAAUGCGUAGAUAUCGAGAGGAACUCCGGUGACGAAGUUGGGUUGCUGGACAGACACUGACGCUGAGGCGCGAAAGCUAGGGGAGCAAACGGG